CACGAACUAGCUUGCUAGUUGGGUGGCGAGUGGCGAACGGGUGAGUAACGCGUAGGAAUAUGCCUUGCAGUGGGGGACAACUUGGGGAAACUCAAGCUAAUACCGCAUAGUAUCUUAGGAUUAAAGCUGGGGACCUUCGGGCCUGGCGCUGUAAGAUUAGCCUGCGUACGAUUAGCUAGUUGGUGGGGUAAGGGCCUACCAAGGCGACGAUCGUUAGCUGGUCUGAGAGGAUGACCAGCCACACUGGAACUGAGACACGGUCCAGACUCCUACGGGAGGCAGCAGUGGGGAAUAUUGGACAAUGGGGGCAACCCUGAUCCAGCAAUGCCGCGUGUGUGAAGAAGGCCUGAGGGUUGUAAAGCACUUUCAGUGGGGAGGAGGAUUGUUAGGUUAAGAGCUAGACAAUUGGACGUUACCCACAGAAGAAGCACCGGCUAACUCCGUGCCAGCAGCCGCGGUAAUACGGAGGGUGCGAGCGUUAAUCGGAAUUACUGGGCGUAAAGGGUGCGU
rnacentral:rRNA from 1 species